GUUACCAGCGGGUAAAGCCGGGGACUCUAGGGGGACUGC
rnacentral:misc_RNA from 1 species